rnacentral:lncRNA from 1 species
AAUGAGACGAAAGAACAAAGUGACACAAUAAAACAUAGAUCGAGUGGCAUCCGACAAUGUAAAGUAAUAUGACACUAGAGUUAGUGUGUGUGGCAUCAAAGAGAAAUGUGACGCAAAGAAUAAUGAUAAUGAUUAGAGACAAGUAAAGAAAAUGAAAGUGGCAUAAAGAACGAGUAAAGUUAAAGAACGAUGAUUGCUAGAGUUAGCAAAAUAAAGUGAUGUAAAGAACACUAGAGUUAGUGUAAAGACAAUGAUUGAA